GGGGCGCCUGGGUGGCUCAGUGGGUUAAGCCGCUGCCUUCGGCUCAGGUCAUGAUCCCAGGACGCUGGGACCAUGACCUGAGCCGAAGGCAGCCGCUCAACCAACUGAACCACCCAGGCGUCCCAUGUCAAGCUUAUUUUUAAUCUCAGGGGAGCAUAGAGAGCAGAGGCUGGCUACUUGUACAAGCAAAGAAAUCUAGUCACCAAAAAGAGAUUUCUAUAUAUUUUGAUCCUUUUCCUCAAUCUAGGUGUUCGGUUACUGGUAUGAUGGAACUUAGAUGUCUCAGGCAGAGGAGUGUUUCCUCUUAUAAAUGACCGCCCUUUUAAAGAGGAAAGGUGUCCUGGGACUAGUAAGUGGCUAAGCUGACACAGGAACUCCAGCAGUAAAGAAUUUCUAAUCCUGGCUUUGCCAUGUGUGACGCUUCAAAAUACUUCACGUCGUCUUUGAGUCCCUUUGAUAACCCCGUGACAUCUAUGUUAUCCCCAAUUUGCAAAUAAGGAAACGGAGGCACACAGGUUAUAUAAUAGUACCCAGAGCCAUUUGUUUUUAGGAUUUUUGCAAAUAAUACAUUUAGUGGUUGAAAUCAAAUGACUGUCACUCCCCACAAAGACAAAUGAUAGCUGAGACCCCUAUUGUCAGCCUAGUCUUAAUUGAGAUCCACCAGGUAAUAGAGUUACCUUCUGUAAUGUGUAAUCAUGAUAUAAAAUGAGAUUUCUAAUGGGGUUAUAGUACCAAGGAAAAUGGAAUUCUGAGGUGAAUGAAACAGUCUUUUCACUGACUUAGGCCAACCCAUACUACAGGGACAAGUUUGGUGAUUUGGUGUGUGUGUUCUAUAUAAGAACGUGAAAGUGAGUAUGUUUAAAAUAACAUUAAAAAACAAUGUUUCAACAUUUUAAUUCAGUUAUUUGCUUGCUUUGUAAACUAAUCUAGCUUGUAAUUGUUGAAUACUGGCUAUGGAGGGGACAGCCUCUGUUUGCCAGCCCAGCACCCAUAUGCUUCCCUCUACCACUCAGGGUGCGUAGGACAGCUUGACUGAACACAGACUACCUGGUGAGUUGGACUAAGGUUCAGCAAGAUGAGUAGGUUAAGAAAUUUGAGAAAAGCAUUAAAGUUACAUACUUUCCAAAGAA